rnacentral:lncRNA from 1 species
GGCAUGAUUUUUGAAAUAUUUAGGAAGUGGUUUCACUACAUUUGGAGUUGGUAUGAAUAUUCUACGGGGUUUACAAUAUGGAAUAAAUAGGAAUAGGUCUUAUUUAUCUAGUGCCACAAAAACAUGGUAGGGAAAAUUGUUGAAUAUGGAUAGAAAAUUAGAGCAUGAUUUUAGAAGUUUGUGGAAAUUGGAACCAUUCCAUUUGGAACUCAUUUGAGCUGUGUAGGAAUUUCGCAAGGUGGGUUUGAAAUAUUCAAAUUUGUAUUUGAAUAUUAUUACUAUAGAAAAUAUAUAUGGGAAAAAUGUUGCAGUAGAUAUUUUGGUAGACAAGGAUUUUAGGAUUGUGUAGAAAUUUGAAUCAACAUUUUUGGAGUUAAAAUGGAUUUAUCAUGGAUUUUUCAUGUUUUUGUAUAAACAAAAAUUGGGAUAAGCUUAUAACUACUUGGCUAUCGACGCCUAGGGCGAGGGAUACCUACUAGGUGACAUGGGCCGACCCAGUAGCUCAUGCGCGCCACUAGAGGGCCACGCCGAAGACGCCCUACUAGAAGGCGCCUUCACCACAGAAUGCCGGGAACAAGCACAGGGCGCCUCCACUUAAACGGGUGGCACCGGCCUUUAGCUCACUUACAUGCGGGCCUGGCCGUCGGGUCAUCCCCUACCUCCUGACCCAUGACGGAGGAGCCGGGGAGAGAGGGACGGAGCCAUGCCGGCGCCUGCGCCGGUGGCUCUGGCAAUGGAUGGCGAUGCCGCAGCCACCGG